UACGAAGGGUGCAAGCGUUGUUCGGAAUUACUGGGCGUAAAGCGCGCGUAGGCGGGUCUGUGUGUCGAUUGUGAAAGCCCUGGGCUUAACCUGGGAAUGGCAGUCGAAACUGCAGAUCUUGAAUGUCUGAGAGGAUGGCGGAAUUCCCGGUGUAGUAGUGAAAUACGUAGAUAUCGGGAAGAACACCUGAGGCGAAGGCGGCUAUCUGGCGGUACAUUGACGCUGAUGCGCGAAAGCGUGGGGAGCAAACAGG
rnacentral:rRNA from 1 species